AUUGAACGCUGGCGGCAUGCUUUACACAUGCAAGUCGAACGGUAACAGGCCGCAAGGUGCUGACGAGUGGCGAACGGGUGAGUAAUGCAUCGGAACGUGCCCAGUCGUGGGGGAUAACUACUCGAAAGAGUAGCUAAUACCGCAUACGAUCUAUGGAUGAAAGCGGGGGACCGUAAGGCCUCGCGCGAUUGGAGCGGCCGAUGUCAGAUUAGGUAGUUGGUGGGGUAAAGGCUCACCAAGCCAACGAUCUGUAGCUGGCCUGAGAGGACAACCAGCCACACUGGGACUGAGACACGGCCCAGACUCCUACGGGAGGCAGCAGUGGGGAAUUUUGGACAAUGGGCGCAAGCCUGAUCCAGCAAUGCCGCGUGCAGGAAGAAGGCCUUCGGGUUGUAAACUGCUUUUGUACGGAACGAAACGGCUCUGGUUAAUACCCGGGGCUAAUGACGGUACCGUAAGAAUAAGCACCGGCUAACUACGUG
rnacentral:rRNA from 1 species